GAUGAACGCUGGCGGCGUGCUUAACACAUGCAAGUCGAACGGAAAGGCUCCUGCUUGCAGGGGUACUCGAGUGGCGAACGGGUGAGUAACACGUGGGUGAUCUGCCCUGCACUUCGGGAUAAGCCUGGGAAACUGGGUCUAAUACCGGAUAGGACGAUGGUUUGGAUGCCAUUGUGGAAAGGUUUUCGGUGUGGGAUGAGCUCGCGGCCUAUCAGCUUGUUGGUGGGGUAAUGGCCUACCAAGGCGUCGACGGGUAGCCGGCCUGAGAGGGUGUACGGCCACAUUGGGACUGAGAUACGGCCCAGACUCCUACGGGAGGCAGCAGUGGGGAAUAUUGCACAAUGGGCGCAAGCCUGAUGCAGCGACGCCGCGUGGGGGAUGACGGCCUCCGGGUUGUAAACUCCUUUCGCUAGGGACGAAGCGCAAGUGACGGUACCUGGAGAAGAAGCACCGGCUAACUACGUG
rnacentral:rRNA from 1 species